rnacentral:rRNA from 1 species
UACGUAGGUGGCAAGCGUUGUCCGGAUUUAUUGGGUUUAAAGGGUGCGUAGGCGGCUUUGUAAGUCAGUGGUGAAAUACGGUAGCUUAACUAUCGAGGUGCCAUUGAUACUGCAGAGCUUGAGUACUGAUGAGGUAGGCGGAAUGGACGGUGUAGCGGUGAAAUGCUUAGAUAUCGUCCAGAACACCGAUAGCGAAGGCAGCUUACUAAGGAGUAACCGACGCUGAGGCACGAAAGUGUGGGGAUCAAACAGG